rnacentral:rRNA from 1 species
GAUGAACGCUAGCGGCAGGCUUAAUACAUGCAAGUCGAGGGGCAGCAUGACUGUAGCAAUACAGUUGAUGGCGACCGGCAAACGGGUGCGGAACACGUACAGAACCUUCCUUUAAGUGGUGAAUAGCCCAGAGAAAUUUGGAUUAAUACACCGUAACAUAUAGAGUUGGCAUCAAUUUUAUAUUAUAGCUCCGGCGCUUAAAGAUGGCUGUGCGGCUGAUUAGGUAGUUGGCGGGGUAACGGCCCACCAAGCCUACGAUCAGUAACUGGUGUGAGAGCACGACCAGUCGCACGGGCACUGAGACACGGGCCCGACUCCUACGGGAGGCAGCAGUAAGGAAUAUUGGUCAAUGGACGCAAGUCUGAACCAGCCAUGCCGCGUGGAGGAUGAAGGUCCUCUGGAUUGUAAACUUCUUUUCUCUGGGGCGAAAACCUCCCAUUCUUGGGAGCUUGACAGUACCAGAGGAAUAAGCACCGGCUAACUCCGUGCCAGCCGCCGCAGUAAAAC